rnacentral:rRNA from 1 species
GAUGAACGCUGGCGGCGUGCCUAAUACAUGCAAGUCGAGCGAACAGAUGAGGAGCUUGCUCCUCUGACGUUAGCGGCGGACGGGUGAGUAACACGUGGAUAACCUACCUAUAAGACUGGGAUAACUUCGGGAAACCGGAGCUAAUACCGGAUAAUAUAUUGAACCGCAUGGUUCAAUAGUGAAAGACGGUUUUGCUGUCCCUUAUAGAUGGAUCCGCGCCGCAUUAGCUAGUUGGUAAGGUAACGGCUUACCAAGGCAACGAUGCGUAGCCGACCUGAGAGAUUGAUCGGCCACACAGGAACUGAGACACGGUCCAGACUCCAACGGGAGGCAGCAGUAGGGAAUCUUCCGCAAUGGGCGAAAGCCUGACGGAGCAACGCCGCGUGAGUGAUGAAGGUCUUCGGAUCGUAAAACUCUGUUAUUAGGGAAGAACAAAUGUGUAAGUAACUAUGCAAGUCUUGACGGUACCCAAUCAGAAAGCCACGGCUAACUACGUG